rnacentral:lncRNA from 1 species
UGUGGUGGGUUAAGUUUCUAAACUCUAUAGAUUUUGGGAGAUAGACCAAUUUGUGUUUGAAAUUCAGGGGCAGGGGCUAGACAAGGGUUGGCCUGGUGAUGUCCUACAGCUACAUUUAAUCCUUGAAUAGCUCAGAAAAGUCUUACAAAUUCAGUCCUGGUAGGAUGAUCCGGGGCUUCAGGUCAUUCAGUAUGCUCUACGGAUGGUCUUCC